rnacentral:rRNA from 1 species
AGUGAACGCUGGCGGUAGGCCUAACACAUGCAAGUCGAACGGCAGCACAGUAAGAGCUUGCUCUUACGGGUGGCGAGUGGCGGACGGGUGAGGAAUACAUCGUAAUCUACUUUUUCGUGGGGGAUAACGUUGGGAAACUUACGCUAAUACCGCAUACGACCUACGGGUGAAAGCAGGGGAUCUUCGGACCUUGCGCGAUUGAAUGAGCCGAUGUCGGAUUAGCUAGUUGGCGGGGUAAAGGCCCACCAAGGCGACGAUCCGUAGCUGGUCUGAGAGGAUGAUCAGCCACACUGGAACUGAGACACGGUCCAGACUCCUACGGGAGGCAGCAGUGGGGAAUAUUGGACAAUGGGCGCAAGCCUGAUCCAGCCAUACCGCGUGGGUGAAGAAGGCCUUCGGGUUGUAAAGCCCUUUUGUUGGGAAAGAAAAGCAGCAGGUUAAUACCCCGCUGUUCUGACGGUACCCAAAGAAUAAGCACCGGCUAACUUCGUG